rnacentral:rRNA from 1 species
GACGAACGCUGGCGGCGUGCUUAACACAUGCAAGUCGAGCGGAGCGGCGAACGGGUGAGUAACGCGUGAGUAACUGCCCCCCUCUCUGGGAUAACAGUUGGAAACGGCUGCUAAUACCGGAUAGUGGGGGAUGACUCGCGUCCUAUCAGCUUGUUGGUGGGGUAGUGGCCUACCAAGGCGACGACGGGUAGCCGGCCUGAGAGGGCGACCGGCCACAUUGGGCUGGGAUACGGCCCAAACUCCUACGGGAGGCAGCAGUUGGGAAUAUUGCACAAUGGGGGAAACCCUGAUGCAGCAACGCGCGUGCGGGAUGACGGCCUUCGGGUUGUAAACCGCUUUCAGCCAUGACGCGGUACCUAAUCAGAAAGCCACGGCUAACUACGUGCCAGCCGCCGCGGUAAUAC